UGAUUUGUAUCAAAGAAUAGAGACAUGCAAUCUAUUAUAUGCCUACAUCAUUGUAACAUCAUCUCUGAGUAGACUAUGGUUUUAUUUAAAAAGACAUGUUUGGGUUCUAUGUGAGAUUCAGUCUCGCCUAUUGGCUGACAUACCUAAACCAUUUGACUUUGACUUAUC